rnacentral:rRNA from 1 species
GAUGAACGCUGGCGGCGUGCCUAAUACAUGCAAGUCGAGCGAAUGGAUUGAGAGCUUGCUCUCAAGAAGUUAGCGGCGGACGGGUGAGUAACACGUGGGUAACCUGCCCAUAAGACUGGGAUAACUCCGGGAAACCGGGGCUAAUACCGGAUAACAUUUUGAACCGCAUGGUUCGAAAUUGAAAGGCGGCUUCGGCUGUCACUUAUGGAUGGACCCGCGUCGCAUUAGCUAGUUGGUGAGGUAACGGCUCACCAAGGCAACAAUGCGUAGCCGACCUGGGAGGGCGAUCGGCCACACUGGGACUGAGACACGGCCCAGACUCCUACGGGAGGCAGCAGUAGGGAAUCUUCCGCAAUGGACGAAAGUCUGACGGAGCAACGCCGCGUGAGUGAUGAAGGCUUUCGGGUCGUAAAACUCUGUUGUUAGGGAAGAACAAGUGCUAGUUGAAUAAGCUGGCACCUUGACGGUACCUAACCAGAAAGCCACGGCUAACUACGUGCCAGCAGCCGCGGUAACAC